rnacentral:rRNA from 1 species
AUUGAACGCUGGCGGCAGGCCUAACACAUGCAAGUCGAGCGGAUGAAGGGAGCUUGCUCCUGGAUUCAGCGGCGGACGGGUGAGUAAUGCCUAGGAAUCUGCCUGGUAGUGGGGGAUAACGUCCGGAAACGGGCGCUAAUACCGUAUACGUCCUGAGGGAGAAAGUGGGGGAUCUUCGGACCUCACGCUAUCAGAUGAGCCUAGGUCGGAUUAGCUAGUUGGUGGGGUAAAGGCCUACCAAGGCGACGAUCCGUAACUGGUCUGAGAGGAUGAUCAGUCACACUGGAACUGAGACACGGUCCAGACUCCUACGGGAGGCAGCAGUGGGGAAUAUUGGACAAUGGGCGAAAGCCUGAUCCAGCCAUGCCGCGUGUGUGAAGAAGGUCUUCGGAUUGUAAAGCACUUUUAGUUGGGAGGAAGGGCAGUAAGUUAAUACCUUGCUGUUUUGACGUUACCAACAGAAUAAGCACCGGCUAACUUCGUG